rnacentral:rRNA from 1 species
AACAGGAUUAGAUACCCUGGUAGUCCACGCCGUAAACGAUGUCGACUUGGAGGUUGUGCCCUUGAGGCGUGGCUUCCGGAGCUAACGCGUUAAGUCGACCGCCUGGGGAGUACGGCCGCAAGGUUAAAACUCAAAUGAAUUGACGGGGGCCCGCACAAGCGGUGGAGCAUGUGGUUUAAUUCGAUGCAACGCGAAGAACCUUACCUGGCCUUGACAUCCAGAGAACUUAGCAGAGAUGCUUUGGUGCCUUCGGGAACUCUGAGACAGGUGCUGCAUGGCUGUCGUCAGCUCGUGUUGUGAAAUGUUGGGUUAAGUCCCGCAACGAGCGCAACCCUUAUCCUUUGUUGCCAGCGGUUCGGCCGGGAACUCAAAGGAGACUGCCGGUGAUAAACCGGAGGAAGGUGGGGAUGACGUCAAGUCAUCAUGGCCCUUACGAGUAGGGCUACACACGUGCUACAAUGGCGCAUACAAAGAGAAGCGACCUCGCGAGAGCAAGCGGACCUCAUAAAGUGCGUCGUAGUCCGGAUUGGAGUCUGCAACUCGACUCCAUGAAGUCGGAAUCGCUAGUAAUCGUAGAUCAGAAUGCUACGGUGAAUACGUUCCCGGGCCUUGUACACACCGCCCGUCACACCAUGGGAGUGGGUUGCAAAAGAAGUAGGUAGCUUAACCUUCGGGAGGGCGCUUACCACUUUGUGAUUCAUGACUGGGGUGAAGUCGUAACAAGGUAACC